ensembl:lncRNA
UAUGUCUUCAAUUGCUGGUAAGUAACUUUCUUGCACUGAGGUCUGUUUGUUGCAAAUAUCUUUGACUUGUUUUUUAUGUCUUAUAAUGUCUAUGUGUGUAUUUAUGUCUUGUAUUGCUGGUAAGUAACUUUCUUGCACUGAGGUCUGUUUAUUGCAAAUAUCUUUGACCUGUUUUUAUGUCUUGUAAUGUUUAUGUGUGUAUUUAUGUCUUAUAUUGCUGGUAAGUAACUUUCUUGCACUGAGGUCUGUUUGUUGCAAAUAUCUUUGACUUUUUUUUAUGUCUUGUAAUGUUUAUGGGUGUGUAUAUUUUUGUCUUAUAUUGCUGGUAAGUAACUUUCUUGAACUGAGGUCUGUUCAUUGCAAAUAUCUUUGACCUGUUUUUAUGUCUUAUAAUGUUUAUAUUUGUA